GACGAACUGUCCUAACGUUGUUCGGAAUCACUGGGCUUAAAGGGCGCGUAGGCGGUCCGAUAAGUCGGGGGUGAAAUCCUGCAGCUUAACUGCAGAAGUGCCUUCGAUACUGUCGGUCUUGAGGGAGAUAGGGGUGUGCGGAACUUCCAGUGGAGCGGUGAAAUGCGUUGAUAUUGGAAGGAACGCCGGAGGCGAAAGCGGCGCACUGGAUCUCUUCUGACGCUGAGGCGCGAAAGCUAGGGGAGCAAACGGG
rnacentral:rRNA from 1 species